ACACACCAUCAACCCCCAAACCCUCUCGCUGUGGCUUAGAGGUAUCUCUGACAACGUGGCACACUGGGAAGGCCUUCUUUCCUGCUACCAAUACAAAUGCAUUCUGAAUUUGAUAUUUCAUUAAAUGUAAAAAUACAGCCAAUUUGAAACGAGCAAAUGGAAAUUCCCAGGAGCCAAAAACAGAAAGAAAAAUCAGAGCUACCGCAGUGCUGUCCCUGCAGACAGAAUUUGGGAGAGGUACUCAUAGUCACCUCCUGUGAGCCUAUGCAAGCCAGCUCCUGCACAACCCUGGUUUUACUCCAGCCUUCUGCAGAAUUCCACAUUAAACAGGAUGAAGAAUAGGUUGUUAGCAGACUGAGGUACUUGGGGCAACAUUUCGUACACAACAGGAGGGAGAAACGACUCCAGAAAAACAAUCAGAUUUUGGUGAAAUUGAUGUUUGCAAGUGUGAGUGAGCCCCAUGUGCUGAAGCUUCAGGAACCCCUGAGAUGGCACGAGUUCUGCCGCACUGGGCAAUGGAUGGUCUUGAAGCACACAAGACACUAGAAGACAUGAGGGCAAUUGCUACACGCCAAGCCUGGUGCCAAGCACGUUGUGCAGGUUGUUUCGUUAAUUCCGGCCCUGGCCUUUGAGAUCUGUGGAGGAUACCAUGAACUGGCUGGCUCUGCAUCCUGCUUGCAGGCACUGGCAAGCUGGAACCUGCUUUUCUACGCCACACUGCAGAGGGCCCUGAAUGUGAUCUAUGAUUGCAACAAGCAGCCCUGAUGCAGAUCCGGAGGGCAGGGAUGACGUGGGGGCUGCCUUUCUGGUUGACCUGCUGGUAAGCAUGGACUCAUGGAUCUAUCACCAACAGCACCCAGUCACUUGGGGAGGCCGAGUGGCAGGGCUGGGGCAUCCAUCAGGGUUUGAUUUUGCUUAUGUGGACCGGCAGGUGCAGCACAGCUGCAUUUUAGUGCAGGGCUUCCUGAUCCUGCAGCACAGCUAACACCGUUCUUCCCGAAGGCAGCAGCUCCCCCACGGGGCUGUUUCCCCAGUUCUGGGCAUCAGUCCCAGAGGCGAAGACGGGAGCCAUCCACUCUGGCUCUGCCAACAAUUCUGUGAGCACCCAGUUCUCUGUAUGAAAUUCCUUUCUGCUUUAGAUAAUUAAAAUAACUUUUCUUCCCCUGCAA
rnacentral:lncRNA from 1 species